GAGUUUGAUCCUGGCUCAGGAUGAACGCUGGCGGCGUGCUUAACACAUGCAAGUCGAGCGAAGCACUUUUUUAGAACUCUUCGGAGGGAAGAGAGGGUGACUUAGCGGCGGACGGGUGAGUAACGCGUGGGCAACCUGCCUUACACAGGGGGAUAACAAUUAGAAAUGAUUGCUAAUACCGCAUAAGGCCCCAGUACCGCAUGGUACAGGGGUAAAAACUGAGGUGGUGUAAGAUGGGCCCGCGUCUGAUUUGGUAGUUGGUGGGGUAGAAGCCUACCAAGCCGACGAUCAGUAGCCGACCUGAGAGGGCGACCGGCCACAUGGGGACUGAGACACGGCCCAAACUCCUACGGGAGGCAGCAGUGGGGAAUAUUGCACAAUGGGGGGAACCCUGAUGCAGCGACGGGGGGUGAGUGAGGAAGUAUUUCGGUAUGUAAAGCUCUAUCAGCAGGGAAGAAAAUGACGGUGCCUGACGAGGAAGCCCCGGCUAGCUACGUGCCAGCAAGCGCGGAAAUACGUAGGGGGCGGGCGCGGGGCGGAUUGACUGGGUGGUAGGGGAGGCGUAGACGGAAGUGCGGGUCUAA
rnacentral:rRNA from 1 species